UUAAGUUCAGCGGGUAAUCCUACCUGAUUUGAGGUCAAGUGGUCAAAUAAGUUGUCCGCGAUGGCAGACGGCUGUGAGCUGGGUGAAUGUGACCUCGCCGAGUGUAGAUAACUAUCACACAAGGCUGCAGAUCGCACAAGAUGAGCCCCUGCUAAUGCUUUUCAGAGGAGCCGGUCCAGCAGAGGGCCAGCAGAACCUCC
rnacentral:misc_RNA from 1 species